AUUGAACGCUGGCGGCAGGCCUAACACAUGCAAGUCGAGCGAGCGGCGGACGGGUGAGUAAUGUAUGGGGACUGCCCGAUAGAGGGGGAUAACUACUGGAAAAGGUAGCUAAUACCGCAUACUAUCGGAUAACCCAUAUGGGAUUAGCUAUUCGGUGAGGUAAUGGCUCACCUAGGCGACGCGCCCUAGCUGGUCUGCGAGGAUGAUCAGCCACACGGGAACUGAGACACGGCCCAGACGCCUACGGAGGCAGCAGUGGUGAAUAUUGCACAAUGGGCGCAAGCCUGAUGCAGCCAUGCCGCGUGUAUGAAGAAGGCCCUAGGGUUGUAAAGUACUUUCAGUCGGGAGGCGUUACCGACAGAAGAAGCACCGGCUAACUCCGUGCCAGCAGCCGCGGUAAUUC
rnacentral:rRNA from 1 species